UCACUAUCUGAUAAUCAUGUCUAGGUUUCAGACUCACAUAACAUAAUUUUAAAUGCAUAUGCUGCAAACAUGGACAGGAGUUGGAUUGCAGUGGACAAGAAGACAAAAAUGAGUUGAUGUCAUCCUUUCAUGACCCUUGCAAAUCUAGCAACGGAAAUUCGUAGGCAAAACUUUCAGUUUCAUUUGGUUCUGGUUAAUGUUGAAGAUGGAAAAGCACAAAAAAAAUAUAAAAAUGAAAGCAGAUACAUGUAUGAUAGGAGAUCAUAUAGACAUUUGGUGAUCCAAACAUAACUGGAGUUCAUGAAACAAGACUGAUUGCUGGGACACAUUUUUGUUGAUAAACAUGUUUAUGAUGAAGAAAAACUUGGAGAGUAUUACGGAUACUUGAAUAAGGCUCUGAUCUGUCUUUGAUUUUUCCUGUUGGUGUUAAAAAAUUGCAAGCUCAAAUAAAGAUAAAUUGAAAUGGAACUCAUGGAUAUGCUUUGAAAAAAGAAAUAAACAGCAAUGUGAAUCUCGCCGAAGUCUUACCAACAACCAAGUCAACACACAGUUGCAACACAAAUGAGAAGAGAGAGACAUUUGCAAGGACUUAGAGUGUUAUCACUGUCUCACCAUUAGAAUGGCUUUUUCAUCAGCAAAGAAGAAGUCUAAAAAUUACUUCUGCAUUAAAAGGUCAUCAAUAUUGAAGACAAUCAAGAAGAUUACGGUUGUACUUUGGCCAUUUGAUAAACAUUAUAAUAUUUUCAUUUGUCAGAAAUUGUUACUUAGAUUGACUAACUAGUUUUAUUGAUUGAAUUGUUAGUAAAUUACCUUUCGUAGUUCAUGUAGUUACAUGUAUGUAAAUCUUUAUCAGAUAGUAUGGAAAUAAUUUAAUACAUCCUUAAAUUCCAUACCUAAUGCAACAAUUGUCUUGU